rnacentral:rRNA from 1 species
GAUGAACGCUGGCGGCGUGCCUAAUACAUGCAAGUCGAGCGAACGGACGAUAAGCUUGCUUCUCUUAUGUUAUCGUCUGACGGGUGAGUAACACGUGGAUAACCUACCUAUAAUACUGGUUUAUCUUCGGGAAACCUGAUCUACUACCGGAUAAUAUUUUGAACCGCAUUGUUCUUAAGUUUAAUUCGUUCUUUCUUUCUCUUAUAGAUUGUUCCGCUCUUCAUUAGCUAGUUGGUAAGGUAACGGCUUACCAAGGCAACGAUGCAUAGCCGACAUGAGAGGGUGAUCGGCGACACGGGAACUGAGACACGGUACAGACACCUACGGGAGGCAGCAGUAGGGAAUAGUACGCAAUGGGCGAAAGCAUGACGGAGCAAAGCCGCGUGAGGGAUGAAGGUCUACGGAUCGUAAAACUAUGUUAUUAGGGAAGAAAAUAUGUGGAAGUAAAUGUGCACAAAAUGACGGUAACGAAACAGAAAGCAACGGCUAACUACGUG